UCAAAGGAAUUGACGGGGACCCGCACAAGCGGUGGAUGAUGUGGAUUAAUUCGAUGCAACGCGAAAAACCUUACCUACCCUUGACAUGGAUGGAACCUCUGAGAGAUUGGAGGGUGCCCGAAAGGGAGCCAUUACACAGGUGCUGCAUGGCUGUCGUCAGCUCGUGUCGUGAGAUGUUGGGUUAAGUCCCGCAACGAGCGCAACCCUUGUCAUUAGUUGCUACGCAAGAGCACUCUAAUGAGACUGCCGGUGACA
rnacentral:rRNA from 1 species